rnacentral:rRNA from 1 species
GCUCCACCCGUUGUGGUGCUCCCCCGCCAAUUCCUUUAAGUUUCAGCCUUGCGGCCGUACUUCCCAGGUGGCUCGCUUCACGGCUUCCCUACGGCACCGACAACGGUCGCACCGUGGCCGACACCUAGCGAGUAUCGUUUACGGCUAGGACUACCCGGGUAUCUAAUCCGGUUCGUGCCCCUAGCUUUCGUCCCUUGCCGUCAGGUCCGUUCUGGUGAGACGCCUUCGCCACUGGUGGUCCUUCAAGGAUUACAAGAUUUCACCCCUACCCCUGAAGUACCCCUCACCUCUCCCGGCCUCGAGCCAGACAGUAUCUCCUGAAAGCCCAACAGUUGAGCUGCUGGAUUUCUCAAGAGACUUAUCUGGCCGGCUUUUUACCCUUUAGACCCAAUAAUAACGGUUACCACUCGAGCCGCCGGUGUUACCGCGGCGGCUGGMACCGGUCUUGCCCGGCCCUUGCUAUGCAAUGCUUUUUAGGCAUCACGACAGCCAGAUUUGUAACCUGGCACUCGAGGUCCCCUUAUCGCCGUUGCCGGCAUUGUAAAGUUUUCGCGCCUGCUGCACCCCGUAGGGCCUGGAUUCGUGUCUCAGAAUCCAUCUCCGGGCUCUUGCUCUCACAACCCGUACCCGUCGUAGGCUAGUAGGUACGCUACACCCACUACUACCUGAUAGGCCGCAGACCCAUCCUCUGGCGCCGGAGCUUUCGAUCUCGGGGCUUUCCCGCGACCGAGACCUAUCGGGGAUUAUACCCAGUUUCCGGGUUUAUACCCGUCCGGAGGGUAGGUUGUCACGUGUUACUGA